GCUAAACGCUGGCGGCGUGCAUGAGACAUGCAAGUCGAACGAAGGAUCGGGCUUGCUCGAUCCUUAGUGGCGGACGGCUGAGUAACGCGUAGGUGACCUACCCCGAAGUGGGGAAUAACUGCCCGAAAGGGUGGCUAAUACCGCAUGUGGUCGCACGUUCAUUCGUGCGAGUAAAGCCGCAAGGCGCUUCGGGAGGGGCCUGCGUCCGAUUAGCUCGUUGGUGGGGUAAUGGCUUACCAAGGCGACGAUCGGUAGGUGGUCUGAGAGGACGAUCACCCAGACUGGGACUGAGACACGGCCCAGACUCCUACGGGAGGCAGCAGUCGGGAAUUUUGCUCAAUGGGGGAAACCCUGAAGCAGCAACGCCGCGUGAGGGAUGAAGGCCUUCGGGUUGUAAACCUCUUUUGUCAGGGACGAUGAUGACGGUACCUGGCGAAUAAGCCACGGCUAACUACGUG
rnacentral:rRNA from 1 species